CUACCUUGCUAUGACUUUUGAGAUGUUACUCAGAUGGGUUAGUCGAAACUAAUUAGACCUAAAAAAAGCAGUUAAAUACCUAGUUAAAAUAUAAUAAAAUUAUAAAUUAAAGAAUAACUACACUAACUAUUCAAAUAAAUGAAUAAUCAAAUCAAUCUUUCUUUUCAUUUAUUAUUUUAACCUCUGAUUUUUCUGACCUUUUCAGGUUAGCUUUUUUAAGGUUAAGAAGAUUUAUUUAGUUUAUUUAAAAUUUAAAGUUAAAUAUAAAAAAUAAAAUACUCCUUACUACUAAGCCCUACCAAUAUAUCUCUAGAGAUAGAAAGGUAGGCAAUAAAGUAGUCAAUAAGUAAAUAAGUAGAAAUAGAAAUAUAGAUAAUAACCAAUAUUUUAUUAUUUAUAAUGUUUUACCUUUUUUAAAGAUAGACUUCGCGGCGCUUUCCCCCAAGCUGAAUUUCUCCCCAGCGACAGACGGUU
rnacentral:rRNA from 1 species